rnacentral:lncRNA from 1 species
CCUCACUUGCUCCAGCUCGGCCAUGUGCGCACCCGAGGUCAAGCUUUCCUUGUCCGGCUCGCCUCCGCCCUCAUUUCCUCGCCCUCUCACGCCAACCACCAUUUCUCCAUCCCCGCUUUUCCCCCUCGGCCAAAAAAAAGGGGAAAGCAGAAGCUGAUUCCGGUUUGCCGUCUCGGACAGGCAAGCACCUUCGCCGCCUUCCGCUCGGCCCUGACUCCGAUCGGCAUCUCGGACAGACAAGCAACUCCAAAUGAUCGUGGUGAGCAUCUUCCUCCCCAACCCUUUUCCCCUCUCGUUUACUCCCUGCAACGCUCGAUUUCUUGCACGCCCGAGCGCACCGCCGUGGGUCCACGUCGCCGGCCAUGAUCCGGUGGUCUCUGGUCCUCUCUGACUGCACGGUUGGAACCGUACAUCCUCGUAGAUCGUUUUUCCGCGCUUGUUUUUCGUUUGCGCUCGCCCUAUCGCCAUGACCGUGCACCAGCCGAGCGUUCCCCGCUCAGCGCCGUGUCGUCACCAAAGUCGCUCUCGUCGGCGUUUGGUGACGUGGAUGGUAGCCGGGAUUGCAUCUUCUCACGCCGAACACAACGCAUGCAGAACAUUCCGGAGAGCAACUCGCCGUGGUUUUGGUCGCCGCCGGUGGCUCCCCUGAAUUACUCUGUGUUUUUUUUAACACUGUAUUAUUACUCUGUUUCGCCAACACACGAGCUGCCUCUGCACACUUUUUUUUUUUUGAGAAAUACCUCUGCACACAUUUUCUUAAGGGAAAAAGGCUAAAUUUAGAAUGUAUCUAGCUAACUUAUGAGCUUUCAUAUUGCUUUCACCACCUUGAUAAAUAAAACUACAAGAAAAAUUGAUAGACCGAAGUUUGACAUUAAAAGAAAGAAAAGCAGACGUGUCCCAGCCAACUGCACCCAAAGGGCAAAUCUUUUUUUCCGACUCGAAUCCACAACCUGUUUCAUAAAAAGGAAGAAUGUGACAACCACCACGACACUAACCAACUUGUGUAAUGGAUCUUCGUUUUCCUUUUUUAUUAGUUCCUACAUUCGUUAUGUUCUUUUUUCUUUUCAUGUUUUCUAGUUCCUUUAAGUUUUCUUCUAAUUUUUGCUUAUAUGUGCGGCUUGUUAGUUUGUGAACUUUUUUCACCGACUUUGAUGAUAUAUUUUUUUUCAUUUUUUGACGAUUUCUUUUGAAAAUCGAUGAACUUUUUUUAAAUUCGAUGAACAUUUUUCAAGUUUGAUGAACUUUUUCCUUUUUGGAUAUUUUUUUAAUAAAUCGAUAUAAUCUUAUUUAAGAUCGUUGAUAUUUUUAUAAUUGGAUGAACUUUUUUUUAAUUUGAUGAACCUUUUUUUGGUUUUACGAUUUUUUUUUCAAAUUCGAUCAACUUUUUUUGAAAAUCCAUCAACUUUUUCAAAAAAUCGUUGAACAUUUUUCAAAAUCACUGAACUUUUUUUCAAAAUUAAUAUAGGAGUACUUUGUUUGGAUUUGUGAACCUUUUUUAUCCCCCAGAUAGGAGCUCCCAAAAAAAAAAGAGGUCCAAAUCUUAUCUUUGUCGCACGCUCCGUCCGCAUCUUCCUCUCGCCUUCUCCAGUUCUCCGCCGCCGUCCGCCGCCGUCCGCCACUGUCCCGGCCUCCCCCCGCGCCCCUCGCCGUACUGCGCCUGCUGCCUGCUCUGCGCGAGCAUAACCCCGCCAUGCUGCACUGCUGCUGCCGCCCAGAGCCCCAGCCCCCAGACUUCUUCUCAUUCCCCUGGCCUAUUCAAAUUAGAAUGCUCAGAGUUGCAGCGCAGCCUUGAGUUCUUGAUUCAGAUGGUGCACAACAACUUAUCCCUGAGUUGCCUGUUCCGGGUUUUUAGGUCAUGAUUUAUUUCAUUUUCUGCUAUAUAUUUUUCAAAGAUUUUUUGUCAAGUACAUGGUUAUGGACCGGAUUCGAACCAUUCCCAGGUUGACAUUCAAUUCAUCCGAAAGUUAUGAUAUAACCUUAACAUGAGUUGAUAAUAUGUUCCUUUAUUUUUUUUUGUAGAUUUGAUGUCCAAGAUGGUAGAACAUUGAUUGCUGUGACUAAACAUUGUUGAUGGAAAUUUGGAGUCAACUUGCAGCAGGAAAAAUGGCAGAGGCUACUAUCCUGGUGGUACGAAGGCCCUAUUUAGAUCCAGGGGCUAUAGCUAGGUUGAGCUAGUUGAGACUCAACUAACCCUUAAAACAUCCAAACAUAUGGGCUAGUUUGAGUUAGAUUGGAACUAGCCCACCAAAAAAACUAUCCCUGUAAAGUGGUGCUAAUUGGAGCUAGUUGUGGUGGGACAAAAAAAAAACAUAUUUUUCUCCCUCACCGAGCCGCACCAGAUCUCCUUCACCCCGCCGCCCCCGUCCUCCUCCACCCCGCCGCCCCCGUCC